UGUCGUCGUGGCUAUACCUGAAUCAAUCUAUCCUGACAUCAUCAUCAUUGUCAUGUCCAAGCAGUAUCAAAUCAGAGAUGUGGCGGAUGUUGCCUGCUACUCGACAUUCAAUGUGACGGUGGCUGGAAAGUGUUUUGAAGAUUAUCAUCAACCUGGGAUCCAUGCAAGGUGUCGCUAUUGCUGGUCUUCUGACACCUUGCGGUGGCUGCUGGCUUUGGCCACCUUUCAAAUAAAACAAACUUAAACUCCUCAG